AUUGAACGCUGGCGGCAGGCCUAACACAUGCAAGUCGAGCGGAUGAAGGGAGCUUGCUCCUGGAUUCAGCGGCGGACGGGUGAGUAAUGCCUAGGAAUCUGCCUGGUAGUGGGGGAUAACGUCCGGAAACGGGCGCUAAUACCGCAUACGUCCUGAGGGAGAAAGUGGGGGAUCUUCGGACCUCACGCUAUCAGAUGAGCCUAGGUCGGAUUAGCUAGUUGGUGGGGUAAAGGCCUACCAAGGCGACGAUCCGUAACUGGUCUGAGAGGAUGAUCAGUCACACUGGAACUGAGACACGGUCCAGACUCCUACGGGAGGCAGGAGAGGGGAAUAUUGGAAAAUGGGCGAAAGCCUGAUCCAGCCAUGCCGCGUGGGUGAAGAAGGUCUUCGGAUUGUAAAGCACUUUAAGUUGGGAGGAAGGGCAGUAAGUUAAUACCUUGCUGUUUUGACGUUACCAACAGAAUAAGCACCGGCUAAAUUCGUG
rnacentral:rRNA from 1 species